AGAACUUAGCAGAGAUGCUUUGGUGCCUUCGGGAACUCUGAGACAGGUGCUGCAUGGCUGUCGUCAGCUCGUGUUGUGAAAUGUUGGGUUAAGUCCCGCAACGAGCGCAACCCUUAUCCUUUGUUGCCAGCGGGUUAUGCCGGGAACUCAAAGGAGACUGCCAGUGAUAAACUGGAGGAAGGUGGGGAUGACGUCAAGUCAUCAUGGCCCUUACGAGUAGGGCUACACACGUGCUACAAUGGCGCAUACAAAGAGAAGCGACCUCGCGAGAGCAAGCGGACCUCAUAAAGUGCGUCGUAGUCCGGAUUGGAGCCUGCAACUCGACUCCAUGAAGUCGGAAUCGCUAGUAAUCGUAGAUCAGAAUGCUACGGUGAAUACGUUCCCGGGCCUUGUACACACCGCCCGUCACACCAUGGGAGUGGGUUGCAAAAGAAGUAGGUAGCUUAACCUUCGGGAGGGCGCUUACCACUUUGUGAUUCAUGACUGGGGUGAAGUCGUAACAAGGUAGGCGUAGUGCU
rnacentral:rRNA from 1 species